rnacentral:rRNA from 1 species
GUAGGGAGCAAGCGUUGUUCGGAAUUAUUGGGCGUAAAGAGCGCGUAGGCGGCUAGGCAAGUCUGAUGUGAAAUCCCACAGCUCAACUGUGGAACUGCAUUGGAAACUGCUUAGCUGGAGUGCGGGAGAGGAGAGUGGAAUUCCCAGUGUAGAGGUGAAAUUCGUAGAUAUUGGGAGGAACACCGGUGGCGAAGGCGGCUCUCUGGACCGCAACUGACGCUGAGGCGCGAAAGCUAGGGGGGAGCGAACGGGAUUAGAUACCCCGGUAGUCCUAGCCGUAAACGAUGGGCACUAGGUGUGGGAGGUUAUCGACCCCCCCCCUUCUGUGCCGCAGCUAACGCAUUAAGUGCCCCCCGCCUGGGAGUACGGUCGCAAGACUA